AACGAACGCUGGCGGCAUGCCUAACACAUGCAAGUCGAACGAGACCUUCGGGUCUAGUGGCGCACGGGUGCGUAACGCGUGGGAACCUGCCCGUAGGUACGGAAUAACUCCCUGAAAGGGGUGUUAAUACCGGAUAAGGUCAUCGGACCAAAGAGCUAUGGCCUCUGGAUGGGCGCGCGUUGGUUUAGCUGGUUGGUAGGGUAAAAGCCUAUCAUGGCGACGAUGCUGAGCUGGUCGGUGAGGAUGACCAGCCACGCUGGGGAUGAGACACGGCCCAGAAUCCUACGGGAGGGAGCAGUAGGGAAUAUUGGACGAGGGGCGAAAGCCUGAUCCAGCAAUGCCGCGUGAGUGAUGAAGGCCUUAGGGUUGUAAAGCUCUUUUACCCGGGAUGAUAAUGACGGUACCGGGAGAAUAAGCUCCGGCUAACUCCGUG
rnacentral:rRNA from 1 species